ensembl:miRNA gga-mir-1698-1 gga-mir-1698-1
GCGCGGCACCUGCUCCGGCCGCCGGCUGCAGGGAUGCUCCUGCCCUCCGCCGAGCACUGGCGAGGCUGCGGCAAUCCCUGCGCCGGCGCCCGGCAGCCGCUGCCGGC